CCUACGGGCAGCAGCAGUGGGGCAUAUUGCACAAUGGGGGAAACCCUGAUGCAGCGACGCCGCGUGAGCGAUGAAGUAUUUCGGUAUGUAAAGCUCUAUCAGCAGGGAAGAAAAUGACGGUACCUGACUAAGCAGCCCCGGCUAACUACGUGCCAGCAGCCGCGGUAAUACGUAGGGGGCAAGCGUUAUCCGGAUUUACUGGGUGUAAAGGGAGCGUAGACGGCGAUGCCAGCCCGAUGUGAAAGCCCGGGGCUCAACCCCGGGACUUCAUUUGGAACUGUAUAGCUGGAGUGUCGGAGAGGCAGGCGGAAUGCCGAGUGUAGCGGUGAAAUGCGUAGAGAUUAGGAGGAACACCAGUGGCGAAGGCGGCCUGCUGGACGAUGACUGACGUUGAGGCUCGAAAGCGUGGGGAGCAAACAGGAUUAGAUACCCUUGUAGUC
rnacentral:rRNA from 1 species